CCGGCCCGAUCCACACUCCCACCUCACCACUCUCUCAUCCCUAAAAAAAUACUCUCUCACGAACUCACAUGUUCCUCGGUCCACCCCACCCCGGCUCUUCUCCCCACGAUCUCCUCGCCGCCUCCACCACCCACGCCGGCCGGUUCCGGCGAGCAUCGGUCGCGCGCAAUACUCCCCGAAGCUCCGCCCCUCCCUCCCCUCCGUCCAGAUCCAACAUGGCUGCAGUUCCUACACGGCCACCCUCUUCUCCACCGCGCUCUCGCACCACUUCAUCCCGCUCCUCCCCCGCCAGGCCCGCCGCCGCCGCCUCCUUUGCAUGCGGCCCGCUGCGCGCCGUGUCCGCACUGCUGGCGCCGCGGAGGCGGCUCCUGCUGCCCGUGGCCGUGGGGGACGCCGAGGGGGAGCAGAGCGAGGGCGAGGCCGAGUACUCCGAGCACCUCAAGGUCUUCGUCGGAUACUAGUAGUCGUUACGUCCAAGGGAUGUGGCUCCGUUCAAGAUUCCGGCGUCAGUUGCGUGCUGGUUGGGGGUCCAUCGCCAAGGCUAGGUGUUUGUGGAAUUGCCUGCCUCCUUUGCAACUGCAACGGCAGCGCCAGCAAAGUAAGGAACGCUAAGGCUAGGCAGAACAAGGAAAGGGAAGGAUGACCAUGCUGUGGGGGCUGGCGGCGUACAUGGUGGACAUGGUGUGGGCGGUGCUCGCCGGGUGGGUGUCGGCAUGCCUGCUGGUCGCCAACGAGAUCGCCCGCGGCAUGCGGGCCGGGGAGAUUGGCCCCUUCGUCGUGGGGUGAAUCUCAGUUCGGGAAUCCUCCCUUCUGACUCCUUCAUGCAGGCAAUGUACUCUGAUUCAGCCAGGACAUCACACGACCGUGCUCUGUUUCUUCUGAGGUCCAGCCUGAUUCGAGCUUCCUGGACAGCCACAAGGCAUGCCUUGGCCGCCAUUGAGCAGAAUGCCGCUGGUGGCCAGCGGCGACAAAGUGCCGUCUCAGCGGACAAGGGAGUAUCAAGCGAGACAUCAUCAUCAUCAAGCGAGCAUGGGAGUUUUUCCUGCAAGCAAGUAUCUCAUUAUCCUUACCUUCAUCUGAACCACACUUGCAUUUUUAAAUCUUUGGAGAUGGCGUAGGAUAAGGCCCAGAUGAACGCUUGUGGAAAUAUUACAGCCCCACUGUUAGGAGUACAAGUUUAGUCCUGACAGACUGGGCGUAAGUGGAUUGGUUUGCCUUUUGAUUAGUAUAAGUAGAUGGUAGCAGACCUGGACAAAUAACAUUGGAUCUUAAUAUCUCAUGACAUUGAGUAGAGGACAAGA